rnacentral:rRNA from 1 species
AACCCCUCGCUGCCAGUUGGCCAACGGGUCGGAAGCCGGGCGACUCUGGCGGGACUGCCAUCGACAAGAUGGAGGAAGGUGGGGAUGACGUCAAGUCAUCAUGGCCCUUAUGUCCAGGGCGACACACGUGCUACAAUGGCCGGCACAGCGGGAAGCGAGGCAGUGAUGCCAAGCGGAUCCCUUAAAGCCGGUCUCAGUUCGAAUUGAAGUCUGCAACUCGACUUCAUGAAGCUGGAAUCGCUAGUAAUCGCAGAUCAGCCAAGCUGCGGUGAAUACGUUCCCGGGCCUU